GUCUAUGGCCAUGCUACCCUGAACAAGCCUGAUCCCAUCUGAUCUCAGAAGCUAAGCAGGGGAGGGCCUGAUGAGUACUUGGAUGGGAAACCACCUAAGAAGAACAGGUGCUGUAGGUG
rnacentral:rRNA from 1 species